CAGCGGAAUUAAAAAGCUAAUGUUAUCUAAAUUACUUCAUUCACUGCCCCAACAAGGCUGUGAAGCUGUCAAAGUGAUGACACUCUGUAGUCUCAUUUAAUCACUCGUUAGCAACCACCUUUGUAAGACACCUAAAGGCUUAAAAUUUCACAAGUGGGAUAUUUGCUGACAUAUCUUAUGUCCUAGAACAAAAUGUGGAAGUCUUUGGUGUUAAGCACAGACCAUAUUUCAGGCACCUAACCAAAACCAGAUUCAAAAAACUCAUUGACUUCAAGACAAGGAAACCAAGUGUGCAAAAAUGCAAACUCAUUUUCGGGGUUUAGGACUCAUUCCCAGACUACUCUAUAAAGGCAUUUUAAUUUUCAGUCAGUGUUCAUCUUAUUUUUCUUUGUUCUUAACAGAAGAAACAAGGAUCUCAUAAGAAGACUGUGUCUGAUGAGAAGAAACAGCACUCCAGCCAUCAGACAAGUGGCGGUGUCCAGGAUGUACCUGCUGCUCCAGGCUCAGCAAAGCCAGCUUGGGAGGACCGACAGCCAAAGAAGAAGAGCUGGUGGAAUCGCCUCUUUGGUUACCUUGACAAGAAAAGUGUUCCUGGUAGGAGGCCUUCAGCCCCACAGGAAAGACCUACUGUCACCACCUCAGACGCUCAAACUGCGUCACAAAAGCAAGCCGUGAGGAAUUUUUGGCGUUGGCUGUCGAUCAACCACAGGAGAAAACGUGUCUCACCAGCCAACAUCACCAACGACAAAAAGACGGACUCACCAAACCCUGAGAGGAGCAACCUAAUAAAUGUCAUCUGGGACACUGAUAGGUCUCUGGAUAGCCCCAUCAAGUGCUUCGG